ACUUAGAUAGUAUUAAAUCAUCUUCAAAUUGUGUUUAAGUACUAGGACUAUAAAUAUGAAAAAAAAAACCUCUUUUCAAGCUGAAAACCAGAUAAACAGGCUGCAGGAGAAUGAGGUGCUGUAAACAAGCUCUUGCAAGUGGAUGUAUGUUGGCUGUAAGUGCAAACAUGCACUGGUAGACAUCAUCAAAGCAGACAUCCUAAAAAUCACCUCAGCCGAGGAUGUAUGAAUGGAGACUCUCUGCAGCUCUUCAGAAAUACUAGUGACCAUGUUGAUAGUGGCUCUGAUUAAUAUUACUAUUUAGAAAAUAAUACUGAUAUCGCUGUGGAUAAUCCUCUGAAAAAAAUGAGCUCAGUGUUCAGUGGUGGGCAAACUAACUAGCAGAAUGUUACAAAUUAUUAGGAAAGGAAUAGCAAGUACUAAGAAGAUGUUAUGUCAGUAUUAGAAACCUGUGGUUUCAAUGAUGUACACAGCUGUGCCUCGGAGUACAGGAGAAGUGGAGAUGAGGACAAGGGUUCAGUGGUACAAACUGACUUUUAUGCAAAAGAGGAUCCAUAGCAACCAGGUCUGAUCAAUCUCCCUGCCCCAGGGAAAGAUGUUGCCUUCCACAGAAGAGUAAAAUGACAGCACUUUACAUAAUUAUAUGUAAUAUGGGGAAAAUGAACAAGAAAUAGAUAUUGGCUAUUUCUUAUAACUUAAUUGGGUGCGCUUAAUUCUUCAGGUACAAGGAAGUGAGUUUAAAAAUGAAAGGCGUUUCUCUUUUACUCAGCAAAAGUAUAAAUCAAUUCAAGUGUAUGUUGGAGAAAAUCAUGGCAGUUUGGUCUACUGGCAGCCCCUGAACAUGGUGGUCUGGAGACAGCCUUCAGACCAAGGGAUCCCUGCGCUGGUUGCUGAGAAGUGGGAGGAUAUGCCAGGGAAGAAUCAUACUAAAGUUGUUCUAUUUCUUUUUUCUUUUUUUCCUAAGCGUCUACUACAGGACAGUGUCAGAAGCAAGAUGUGCAACAUGAUCACACAGAGAAAGAUUUUGUCUUUCAAAAGCUGGACAUUUCUAUCAUCAGACAAGAAUUUGAGCUGGUGUCCAACCGUGGUGCACCUUCAAAAUAGAUGA
rnacentral:lncRNA from 1 species